GACGAACGCUGGCGGCGUGCUUAACACAUGCAAGUCGAACGGAGAGGCCCUGCUUUUGUGGGGUGCUCGAGUGGCGAACGGGUGAGUAACACGUGAGUAACCUGCCCUUGACUUUGGGAUAACUUCAGGAAACUGGGGCUAAUACCGGAUAGGAGCUCCUGCUGCAUGGUGGGGGUUGGAAAGUUUCGGCGGUUGGGGAUGGACUCGCGGCUUAUCAGCUUGUUGGUGGGGUAGUGGCUUACCAAGGCUUUGACGGGUAGCCGGCCUGAGAGGGUGACCGGCCACAUUGGGACUGAGAUACGGACCAGACUCCUACGGGAGGCAGCAGUGGGGAAUAUUGCACAAUGGGCGGAAGCCUGAUGCAGCAACGCCGCGUGCGGGAUGACGGCCUUCGGGUUGUAAACCGCUUUCGCCUGUGACGAAGCGUGAGUGACGGUAAUGGGUAAAGAAGCACCGGCUAACUACGUG
rnacentral:rRNA from 1 species